GGGGGCUGUGGGUGGAGGAGAAAAAGAGAAAAUAAAUUCUAUUCCACUUCUCUCUCUUUUCCAUGCUUUCGCAUGCAAGGCCUGCUGCUUUUCUUCCUUCACUACUUCUUUUUAAUGGCUCCCUAGCUUUCUUGAGCUCGUUCCUCCUUCCAAUGACAUCAGCAAACCAAAUAUUAGUAUAGCCUUUGUUUCCAGUACAGAUUCACAUUAGGCAUUCCAUUUUAACUUUUGUUUUUAAUAGCGCCUUUGAUCCCAGCAUCUGAAAGCGCUUUACAACAACAAGGGUGCCUCACACCAUGCCUGUCAGUUAUCUAAGAAGCAGAAAAGGUCUUUGGAAUUUCUGAUUUAAUACGUCUUCUAUGAAUGAAAAAGAGAAACAAGUUUAACCACAGAACAUUUGCUCUCUUAUUGACUGCAGCCCUGGGAGACUGUGUUUGCAGCCAUUCUGCAUAGGGACCAGCUGAAGAAUCAAUCUCCCUCACUAGGAAGGCAUGACAUGGAGGAGACCUAAUCAAGCCAAAUUACAAGAGAGUAAAGGAACUGCAGCAGAGGGAUGAAUAGAGGAUUCCCACCUAUCCAACAGGAAUACUCAGAAUCUUCUUUGAUGUCAACAACAUCAGGCACCCAGGCACAUAAGCCCCUUGACCUCUACUGGCCACUACACCUCCACAGGUUGACCUCAGUACAGCAGAAGUCUGACCCAGCAUACCUUCACGGACUCUUAAAGAGGAUGCGUUUCCUUCAUGAACUGAUAGUUGAAGUUCUUGAGAAGGCCAACAAACAGGUCUAGUACCAGAAACAGACAGACUUAAGAUUGGAGAAAAGGCAUAGCAAGAGUCAGGAGGACAGGCACAGGCUGGCCACACAGCCUGAAGACAGGGUUUCAGCACAGAGGAAGCACUUGCUAUGCAGUUCCUGGAAUAGGAAUGUCAGCUAAGGGAGGAGGAUAGAGCUCAGCAGAGAGAACUGUUCAAUCAGUGCUGCAAGUGUACCGGCUCCUGCUGCCUCUCCCACAGCCUAGGUGACUGUUGUACUGUUUUAACGCAUUUAUAA